GUUUUGUUUUUUCUUAAACACGAGAUAUAGUCUUCAAAUUUAGGAUGUUUUUGAAAGACAUAUUUUAUUAUCAAUUAUAUAUACCUCCUCACACAACAAUUAAAAUAUAUUUAUUUUAAAUCGUUCAUCUUCCCCAUCCCUCUCUCAUACACACAUUACUUUGGGCGCGAAGAAGUUUUGUUUUUAUUUUACGCCGAGGAAAAAUGUUUUGUUCAGAAUCCAUUUAUUUAACAACAAAGAAACAAAGGGGUAGGUAACAAUUUGUCAGUGAAUUACACAAUAUAAAUGGUUACAGUUUCCGAGGCUUCCACCACACCCCACUCCGUUUUUCGGAUCACAAAAAGGGUUUUGUAGCAUAUUAGGAUUCCAGAGUAGUUGAUUCCACGCAAAAAAAACGAUCUUUUUUUCUUAAUGAAAAUCGUGCGAGUGUUAAUCUACAAAUUUACCAACAUUUUUUCCAUUCAUUUCUGUUUAUGAACAUGUACGCGUGCACAAAACAUAUAUGCAAGAGGUGUACGUACGUACGUGUGUGUAUGUGUGUUCGUGUGUGUGUGUGUGUGUGUUGCCCAUAUAUAUUUAUAUCAUAUUAUAUUAUAUUAUAUUAUAUUAUAUUAUAUUAUAUUAUAUUAUAUUAUAUAUAUCUUUUUUUUUCUCUUUUACUUGUUUCAGUCAUUUGACUGCGGCCAUGCUGGAGCACCGCCUUUAAUCGAGCAACUCGACCCCGGGACUUAUUCUUUUGUAAGCCCAGUACUUAUUCUAUCGGUCUCUUUUGCCGAACCGCUAAGUAACGGGGACAUAAACACACCAGCAUCGGUUGUUAAGCAAUGCUAGGGGGACAAACACAGACACACAAACACACACACGCAUAUAUAUAUAUAUAUAUAUAUAUAUAUAUAUAUAUAUAUAUAUAUACAUACAUAUAUACGACAGGCUUCUUUCAGUUUCCGUCUACCAAAUCCACUCACAAGGCUUUGGUCGGCCCGAGGCUAGAGUAGAAGACACUUGCCCAAGGUGCCGCGCAGUGGGACUGAACCCGGAACCAUGUGGUUCGUAAGCAAGCUACUUACCACACAGCCACUCCUACGCCUAUAUAUAAUAAAUUAAUAAAUAAAUAAAACAUAUGCAUAUAUACAUACAUAUAUGUACGUACCUACGUCUACAUGUAUAUAUACAUGCAUAUAUGGGUACAGGACACCAAAAAAAACGUCGAACACAAUGAGAAACGAAAACAUAAACACAAAACCAAGGAAAUGGACAUUUUUCUUAAACAACGAAAAAAUAGAGUACAGGACAUACAAAACAAGGAAAAUUCCCCUUCUUCAGUCGCCUUUGUUUCAUCUACUCCCACGUUAUAUAUAUAUAAACCAAUUUCAACGGAUUUCGCCCAAAUUUGACGUCGAUAUUACUUAGUUUGGUUUGAAAUAAAGAAUUUGAUUAGCUUAAUAAUCGUAACUUAAUCCCGGGCAAAGUCGGGUUAUACUGCUAGUAUGCAAUAGAAAAAAAACUAUGCACGAACCUCAGACGAAAUACAUGAACAGUGAACACCAUAAAAUAAGCAUUAAUAAUAUUUUCUAUUUAAUUAAAUGACCAUUGCUUUUUCCAGUCAAUGUGAGGUAAACUUUGUCUUGAUUCCUGUACAUUUAAUAUAAAUUUGUGCCUAUUUUCGUAGCCUUUUCUGACUUCAGAAGCGUUUGUCACUAAAUUGAUAGCAUGCUCGACUCCUUAGCUAUGACAAAGAAAAGGUAUUAGCUAUGACAGUCAGAUCUUUUAUUUUUUUAUUUUUUUGUCAUAACACGUGCAGGUGCAUGUCUCAAACAUUUCAUUGAACUCCUCUAAUUUCUUAUCAAAACUAUCUCCUCUUUGCUUGAAUUUAUAAACAGAUUCAAUCAAUCUCUCAAUUGUUAGAGCUAUUCCCUCAAACCCAAUAUAACGAAAAGAAACUUUGUCCCAUAUUGCUUGUACAACUGCAGCAAUAAUCCAGUAGCAUUCUUUCACUAUGGGUGAAGUUUUUGAUAUCUGUUCUUCACAUUUUAUCUCUCUCUAUAUAAACGGCAGUUUGUCUGUGCGUGUUUCUGUGUGUCUGUUUGCUUGUACCCUCACCCUGACCACGGUUUUCAACCGAUUCUGAUGAAACUUGACACACACAUAGCCCAUUGUCAUAAUUCAAAACUAACACAGCGAAAAUUUUGAAAAGUUCCCCCAGUUCUGAAAAACAUCGAUAAAUUCGACAUGGGGUCGAGAAUCAGAAACACAAACCGCAAACUGUCUAGGGGACGCAACUCCACCUUUUUUAACUCUCAAAAAAAAUUUACCAUCAUUUUUUUCCAUUUUUUUGCUAUUUUUUGGCUAUAACUCUCUAAAAAUGCUUUAUAGUUAUUUCCCUUACAAACCUGAGCAACGCCGGGCGAUACUGCUAGUUAUGUAUACAUCAGCUUUUGAUGUGGUCAUUGCUGUGGAAAUUCUGCAGGAAAUCCAAAUGCUGAAUGACGGUUUUUACUUCUAGUAUAUAAUCUUAUAUACUUAAAUUAUUACAGUUUAAAUUUAUGUCGGUAUUUUUCUAAAAUUAUAAUACAAGUUAGCUUUGAAAGAAUCUGAAAAACAAAAGAAAAUCAUUUAACAACGUAUACAUUUUCUAAAAAAAAUUCAUUUAACACAUUGAAAAGUCGUAAUUUUAACAUGUUGGAUGGGUACCUACCUACCAAUUGACUUAUAUUUCAAUGUUUUUGCUAUCUUUACUCAUCAGAUGUUUUAAACAAGGUUUUUAUAGUGAAAUAUGAUCAAAUGUUUCAUAUCCAUAAGCAAUUUAGCAUAUAUAUGUUAGAGAUUAUAUGUUUAGUAUAGAAAAUUAGGGUAUUUAAUUUCAGGGGGUGUAUGCGAGUGGUACGGGGUGUUACAUAACCCUAAUUUUCAUACACACACACACACAUAUAUAUAUAUAUAUAUAUAUAUAUAUAUAUAUAUAUAUAUAUAGAUAGAUAGAUAGAUAGAUAGAUAGAUAGAUAGAUAGAUAGAUAGAUAGACAGACAGACAGACAGACAGACAGACAGACAGACAGACAGACAGACAGAUAGAUAGAUAGAUAGAUAGAUAGAUAGAUAGAUAGAUAGAUAGAUAGAUAGAUAGAUAGAUAGAUAGAUAGAUAGAUAGAUAGAUAGACAAACGCACGCACUCAUAUGCAUCUUUUCUUUGAUUCCUAAUUCCUGAGGGCGUGGUAGGGUCACCGUCAUUACAUAGUGUGUCUCGGGCAAUUAAAAUCCUGGAGUGAGGAGAAUAGGAAAAUUAAAUAUGGGUUGGUAUAUUGGUGUUACAGUAAAAUAUGAUUUAUAUCCUUGAGUGGUUAUCCAUUUUUAUUAUUAAUAAAGAAUGUUAGUAAAAUAAAUUUAAAGUUAAUGGGUAUAGGUUGAUUAAAAAUAUUAGGUCAAUGGAUAUUUGUAAGAAUUAAGAAGAUUAUAUAAUAGAGUUGUGAAUGGUGUUUUAUUGAAUAUUAAUAUAAUUGUUGUUAUCUUUAUGAUUGUUAUGAUUUACUUAAAUGGCUUAAUGAGAGCGUGACGUUGAAAGUCUUGAAGUGAUAGUAUAUGCCUUUACGUCAGCCCUCUUCUGAUUUCACAGCAACUGAUUUUUCUUGAGGCAUGCAGAAAAACAAAGAAGGAAAAUGAUAAAGAGGAGAAACAACUCCAAUACUGAACUGGUAUUAUAUAUAUGAGCGUCCAAUAAUACUUUAUUUGUUCCACGUCCUCGCGUUGCUGUGUUUUUGUGUUUUCUUGUUUGGAUUAACUAUAUAUAUAUAUAUAUAUAUAUAUAUAUAUAGAGAGAGAGAGAGAGAGAGAGAGAGAGAGAGAGAGAAAAUAGUAAAAAGUGAAAAAACUACAGAAGGCUUAAAGGUUAAAAAAUAUAUAUAUUUGCGUCAAUAUGUCUGAAGAAUAUUAAAAAUUUUUUUUUCCUUACAAUGACAUAGUUUAGAAGAAAGACCGGUUUCGCGUUUAGCUUUUCAAAUUUCUUACGACGUUAUGUUUAUGUUGAAUAGAGUUAUCGUUAUGUUUAAAAGAGUUCUAAAUAAGGGGAGGUAAUGAGUGAUUUCUUCCGGUGUAAGGGAGAUAAUCGCUUAAAAUUUUUUUCUUUUCCCUUGGUGUGAAUUUCUCUGUAUCAGUAUGUUGGCAUGGUUAAGUCUGGGCUUGUACUUUUCAAUGAAGAAUGUUUCCUUGUUUAGUCUAAUUUGUGUUGAUGAUCCGAUAGCACAUUGGUAAAAUGGAAAGAUUAAAAAUUGUGGUAGUAGUUGCUUUGCGCAUUUCUCAAUGUGUUCACUAAAAGGUAUCAUUCUGUAUUCUGGGAAUGCAAUCUGUUGUCGAUGCAGUGUGCAUCUACGUCUGAGUGAUAAUCCCGUGGAUCCCACGUAGUCUUGGUGGCAGCCCGAGCAUUUUAUGACAUAAAUUAUGUUUUCAGAGGCACAAGUAAAGUUAGAUUUGAUCUUGAAUUUCUGUCCCUCUUUAAAGAGGAAUUCUGAUCCUUCUAGCAGGUUUGGACAUGUUGCACAGUUCGAUCUACCACAUUUUUUUACUUUUGCAUCCGUAAUUUCAGAAAACAAUUUUGCCUUUGUGAGAAUCUUUUUAAGUGAUUUAGGUUGUUUGUAGCUUUUAAUGAUUUGGUGUAUGUUUAGAAUUUCCUUUAAUUUGGGGUCCUUAUGAAGUAUUGGUAAAUUCUGGGUGAUGAUGGUGAAGGCUUCUUUGUUUCUGGGGUUGUAUGUAGAUAUGUAAGGUAGUAUUUUCGGGGAAGGUGUGUUGUUGUGUUCAACUUUUCUUAAAGUUUCUAUGUUGAUUUCUGUUGCACGUCUGAUCCCAUCCUCUAUGAGUUGAGUUGGGUAAUGUCUGUCAAUUAGGGUAUUUUUGAGUUCUUGCAGUCUAAAGUUCCUGGUAUUUUGUUCUGACACUAUUGUGCAUAUCCUUCUUGCAAGGUUGAAGGGGAUGUUUGUUUUAGUGUGUCUUGGGUGGCAUGAAUUAAAAAGAAGGUAUUGUUUGGCGUCUGUGGCUUUGUAAAAAAUGUCUGUUUCUAUUUUAAGGUUAAUUUUUUUAAUUAGUAUAUCCAAGAACGGGAGCUCCUUUUGGUUGUAUUCCAUUGUGAACUGUAUAUUUGGGUUUAUGCUGUUCAAUAGGUUUUUAAAUUUUAGGAGUUUAUCUGUGUUUUCAUUCCAGAGUAUAAAACAAUCGUCUAAGAAUCGUUUCCAAUUCUCUUUUAUUUAUUGAGAGAGGGGGUUUCCAAAGAUUGAUAAAGAUUCCUGGUAAAUGAUUAUUUCCAUGUAGCCCAUUGUUAGGUUCGCAAUGACUGGUGCUGCCCUUGUACCCAUAGCAAUUCCGGAUUUUUGACGGUAAAAUGUAUUGUCAAACAUGAAGUGGUUAUUAUGUAGGAUGAAUUCAAUUGAUUUAGUAAUGAAUUCUUUACUGAUCCUUUUUGGUAUUUCUUCUGGAAAUUGGUCCAGCCAGAACUGUAUUGCCUCUAGUCCAUAAUUAUGAGGUAUACUGGUAUAUAAGUUAACUACAUCAAAUGAAACCAGGAUUGUUUCUUCCUUGGCUUUUUUUGGAAGGUGGUUUAACAUAUCUAAGUCAUCUCUGAUAUGGCUAUCGAUAUGUUUAAGGAAGGGUUUCAGGAGGAUGUCCAUAAAUAGACUUAGUCUGUGUGUUUCACAGGUUGUAGUAUGCAUGUAUGUAUGUAUGUAUAAUUGGUACUCCAUCCUUUACUAGGACGACGAGUGUUCUAAUUGAUCCGAUCAACGGAACAGCCUGCUCGCCAAAUAACGUGCAAGUGAUUGAGCACUCCACAGAAAGACGUACCCUUCACCGUCGUUCCCAGUAGGAUUCUGCGUGACACAAAAUGUGACAACGCUAGCACUUUGAAUUGCAGUUACAACUUAUUUUUGCUAGCUGGGUAGACUGAAGCAACAUGAAGUAAAGUGUCUUGCUCAAGGACACAAACACACCGACAGGUAUCGAGUUCGAAACCUUGCGAUCGUGAGCCAAAUACCGUAACUACUAAUCCACACACCUUCACACACACAGCACACACACACACACACACACACACACACACACACACACAUACAUAUAUUGACGGUAAACCAUAAAUCCGAGAAAGAAACACACUAAGUUAUAGAGCAGUAGAAUAUAUAAAGAUAGAUAUGGCUGGUCUAUGGGGUUACCCUGGGUUCCACGUCCAUAAAGCGCUUAGCUUUACGGCGUUUCUUCAGACACUAGGCCUGUGGCCUCUCUUGCAAGUGGCCAUACAGAGAGACAGACAGACAGACAGAUUGAAGUUAAUGGUGUGGUGCUUACGUACGACAAAUAAAUUAUGUGACUCUCACGUGUUGUAUAUGAGUAUAGCUAAAUCUAAUUAUAAUCAUGUAAUUGCCAGUCAUGUUACGUAAGAAUACUGAAAUAGCUGUAGGAAUGAAUAAUUGAAAUAUGUAGCGGAAAAAAAACUUCAUGUGAAAGCUCUUAGCUAGAGUAAUGAAUCUGGGACAUUUUUUGCCUUACUCUGUAGAACUGAUAUUUUCUUUUUUGCAUACACACAAACCCGUGCGCACGCGAGCAUGCAUACAUACAUGCAUACAUACAUACAUACAUACAUACAUACAUACAUACAUACAUACAUACAUACAUACAUACAUACAUACAUACAAAUAUACAUGCAUACAAACAUACAUGCAUACAAACAAACAUGUAUACAAACAACAUACAUGCAUACAAACAUCCAUACAUACAUACAUACAUACAUACAUUCAUACAUACAUGCACCCAUACAUACACACAUACAUACAUAUAUACAUACAUACACACAUGCAUGCAUGCAUGCAUGCAUGCAUACAUACAUACAUACAUACAUACAUACAGACAGACAGACAGACAGACAGACAGACAGACAGACAGACAGACAGACAGACAAAUAUACAUACAUACAAACAACAUACAUGCAUACAAACAUCCACCUAUACAUACAUAUAUAAUACAUACAUACAUAUAUACAUACAUACAUCCAUACAUACAUACAUUCAUACAUAAUACAUACAUGCAUACAUACAUACAUACAUACAUACAUACAUACAUACAUACAUACAUACAUACAAAUAUACAUACAUACAAACAAACGUACAUACAAACAACAUACAUGCAUGCAAACCUCCAUACAUACAUACAUUCAUACAUACGUACAUACAUACACACACGCACAAGCAUACAUAUAAAUAUACAUACAUACGCGUGUGCGCACACGCACACACACAUGCGUAAAUACACACAUACAUAUUGUAAUAUAAAUCUAGAGAUAAUCGAUGUGCUGUGCAUCGAUAUCAUGAUUGUUUCUAUAAUCGUAGUAUAUCCGAGUGGAUUUACGAGGAUGGAGAAAAGUAACGAGGUAGCAUACAAGAUACUGAAUAUAUAUAUAUUAUGUAGUCAAGAAGACAUGGUGAUUACGAGAACGGAAGAAGAUACUUGCAGUAGAAUUUGAAUAAUGAUUUGCAGCGAAAAGGCUGACAACUGUGAGAGAUAAGCGAGAGGCUCACGGAAUGAUUUAAAGAAAUGUGAGAGCAUGUAGCGUAUGUUUUUUAUUCUGUAUGCGUGCGAGUGUAUUAGAGCAUAGUGUGUGUGUGUGUGUGUGUGUGUGUGUGUGUGUGUGUGUGUGUGUGUGUGUGUGUGUGUGUGUGUGUGUGUGUGUGUGUGUGUGUGUGUGUGUGUGUGUGUGUGUGUGUUUGUAAGAUUUGAAGGAAUAGAGGUGGGUACAAUGAACUUGCUUAUAUUGGUGGUUUGAAUGGUAGGUAGCUCGAUUUGUGUGUUUUUACUGUUUACCCCAAGAUCAGCAAAGUUUAAUAGGAUCUGUGACCAAAUUAUUCCAACCGUAACCAUGUUGUUUUUCAAGUGUUAAAGAAUCUUAGAACAAUAUUUAUUACUCGAUGUGUCUUUCUUUAAAACUUCAUAUUGUAAUUUUUGAGGAUUUGGCAGCUAUUUCUGUCCUUCUUUAAAACUUCAUAUUGUAAUUUAUGAGGUUUUGACAGCUAUUUCAAAUAAACUGAGUGACCAAAAAUGAUUACAAUAUUAACGAAGAGACAGGUGAUGCAUCGCUCUUUACCUCUUCGUGGCGCCUCCCAACUUUUUUCUUUCUUCCAAAAUAGACUUUUGCCUCUCUAUACUGUCAUCCCUUAUCUACAUUAACAAUUGCAUUGUAUUGGAACUCAUCUUCCCUACACUUCUCAAUCUCAUACACGCUAAACUGUUUCUUCUUUUUCGGCACCUCUAGCACCAUAAUAGAAUCCAACGAUCUCAAUCUACUUGCUAGUCACUUUAUGAAUCCAAAUCUCUUUUAUUUUUUUCAUGGUCUCUCAGGCUAUAUCAUUGUCUCAUCAACUACUGUGUCCCUUAAUCGUGAAUAGCUCAACUUCUUCCUUCCUUCCUUCCAUUAACUUCCUAGAAUUCACAUCUACCAUCUCCAUCAUAUCUGUUUACUUCGUUGUCGCCUCCAUUUCUACAACCCGUCUCAACCCUUCCAACUCCGUUUUUAGCAAACUGACUGACUGACUUCACUGCAACCAACCCGACUAACAUUUAAUCUGUGAUUCUCUCUGACACAUCCUCGAUUUCCUCUGUAACCACAACUGCGAUUUGGAUGUCCAACCACACCUCAAGAUCCAUCAAUAAUAUUUCCCCACUGUCGGUCGUUGCGCCCGCGCCCCACCUCCUGCUCUUUAUCAAACGCACUACUAACUGUCUAUCCAUCCACCUCAUCUACCAUCUUGCGUCCGUAAAUCUUCAAUAUACCAUCUUUUGGCAUUUCUGUCUCAUCCAAAAUCUUUUCCAAAGACACGACAAUAUACGCGACAUUCUGAUUCCUAAUUUAGUCAUCCCACGCUUCACACAGCCUUGGUCAUUUGUUUUCUUCGUUUCUCACUACACCCCUAUUCCUUGCCUAAAACAUCAACACUCUACGCAAGCACAACCCAUGAUUUUCUGUCAUCCACCGUUUCAUCUGUACCUCCAACAUUGAGAUUGCAUUAAGUACCAAUCUAUGACGUUUUGUAUAUUGGUGAAUUGGUUGGCAACUAGGUAAUCGUUUUAGGAAACAUUUAUUGGACUUUCAUCGCAACAUCACCUGAUCACCCCGGUCGGCAUGUCGUUACUUCAUUUCUUCUUGCCGCGCCUAUCUCUCUCUUGUGGUGUAGAACAUAUCAGGAAUCCUCCGUUCUUCGUUUGCAUCGCGAACAACAAUUAAAUGUUCAGCUAAGCACAGCUUACCUAAUUGCAACCUAAUUGCAAGUAAUAAUCGAAUUAUCUUGAACUGCAAACAUUGCUUUCUCCUGAACUUCAACACACACACACACACACACACACACACACACACACACACACACACACACUGAUAAAUGCCCUGUGUGCACUCCUCCAUCUCCAUAAACACUUACACAUGCACACACACUCAUCACCAACGAAGCACCUACACACGCACAUAUCUCCCAACUACCACCCUCACCACAUACAAAGCAGCAUACUACAUCCACCCAUACACACCAAAACGCACACACAGACUAAACACAUUUUUGUACACACAUAAACACAUGUGUAAUACGCCCUCACACUUCAUUCAGCCUCUCCAUUCUCUUCUCUCUUAUCUCCUUCAUCUGUCACUCUUUCCGCCGUAAAUCACCAUUUUAUAUACUUCCGUUGUAUCUAUUUCCGUUUUCUAUCCGCUUUACUGCCUUCCCAAUAAUCAAAAUCUUUUAACCAAAUUUUUUUCUCUCAUUAUCUUGUUGAAAAUUCACUGUUCAAAAAUUGUGCCGUGUAUGUGUGUGUGUGUGUAUGUGUGUGUACACACACACACACCCACACACAUACAUAUAUAUGCACAUAUACAUACAUGUAUGUGUGCGCUGUGUGUAUGUGUGUAUAUAUAUAUAUAAACACACACACACACACACGCAUAAACACACUCACUAACACACACAUACAUAUAUAUAUAUAUAUAUAUAUACGGAGAGAGUGAGAGAGAGAGAUGCUCUCUGUCAGUUUUGGCGAUGAGGAUUUAGCUGUUCGAAAUACUGAAUUACUUGUAGAAGUGGUCGAACGUUCCACAGACAUAUCUACCAUUAACGUAACCCACAGUAGAAUCAAUGAGAUAAGGCUUCCGCACAGUUUCCGUCUAUCCAAAAUCACUGGGUCGUUUAGAAUCAAAAGUAAAGCAAUAUAUAUAUAUAUAUAUAUAUAUAUAUAUAUAUAUAUAUAUAUAUAUAUAUAUAUAUAUACAUAUAACUUAUAAGUAAGGGCUAAAGAAAAUUAUUUCAAUGCCAAUAUGCUGAUAACAGACUAUUAAAUCAUCAAUUUCCACAUAUAAUUUACUCGCUACAGAAAAAAACCGAAGAGCUGAAGUCAGGUAAGCUGGCCGAUAGAAUUUUUUUAAAAUUCGUUAUUUCUAUAUUGAAUCAAUUUCGGAAUUAAUCUAAUAAAAGACUUAUUCCUCCUCAGUAGAACUUACGAAAGGAUAUAAAUAAGAUACUUACAUGCGCCCAUUGAAAAAGCCAAAGCAAAAAACAUGAGUACAUUUAAGUACCCCAGAUAUAUCUAAAAAUAAAAUUCUUUGGUCAGCCUCAGUACAACGUGUUGACUGUUCCCCACUACAGGUUAUAGAGGUUACCAGUCCCUAUAGCGAGUAGUAUAUAUAUAUAAACAAAAAAAAACAGAAAAUACUUAUACAAGUUGCUACACAGGGAGAUCGAAUCCAGGACAUUUGACUACAAAGCAAACUUUUUAAAUAUUCGGCCAUGAUAUAUCCACAUUGCACGGUGCAGCCCUUAGCGUCUCCACCUGUCACACUCGGGAUCUUUCACCAGGUUAAGGGUGGAAAUGCCAAGCAAUAAGUGAAAGCAUGAUACUAACUACUUAGUCAUGUUCUUUUGCAAUUGAAUAAUAUAGGAUAUACAUGCAUACAUACACACACACACGCGCACAUACCUAUAUACAUAGAUAUACGAGGGGGUACCCAAAAGAAACCGGAAUUGUGCGAUAUUAUUUCGUUCACUUAGUUUUAUAGGUUUACACUUUCGUCGCCUUCAAAAUAUUCUCCAUUUGAGGCAAUGCAUCGGUCCAAAUACGUUUUCCACCAUUCAAAGUGGCGCUGAAACUCUUGCGAAGUGAUGCCUUUUAACGCCUCCGUCGUCUUUUUCUUCACUUCUUCCACAUCUGCAAAUCCCGUAGCAUCAGUUUUCGUCACAAGUGAUGACCUUCGAAAAAAGAUCUGGAUCAACUUCCAACUGUUCUUUCAGUCCACGACACGCAUUCAGUCGUGACUGCUUAUCAUCUUCCGUGAGCAAGCGAGGCACACAUUUUGCUGUAACUCUUUUUAUUUGCAAUUCUUCGCUCAAAAUUCGUUGGCAGGAACUCCAUGACACACCAGUCAUAUCAACAAGUUCGUCAAUUGUUCGGUGACGGUUCUCUAAGAUCAGUUCAUCAAUUUUCAUGAUGUUUUCAUUCUUUCGGGAGGUCGACUGUCGCCCUGAACGAGAUUGCUCUUGAAGAGACAAGUAAUCAUUCCUAAAGCGUGAAAACCACUCGUAAACUUGUAUUAUGCUCAUGGCAGCGUCCAUAUUAGCUGUUUGAAGCAAGACAACUGUUUCGGUCACUGUUUUCCCCAGUAGAAAACAGAAUUCCACGGAAGCACACUGUUAUUUCGUUUCAGCCAUUGUAAAAAUCGACGAACAGGGAAGAAGCACUGCAAAACAAAGACACAUCACGUGGCAGCAUGACCUCACUGGACAACGCCAGUUGGCAUACUGAUGCCUGAUGGUCGUAUCACGUGGCUUCUAGCGGCGGAAGCUUGAACUAUAAUGGGUAUGACUUAGAAAGAACGUUUUCGGGUAUUUUGGGGUAUUCCCUCGUAUGUAUACAUGUGUGUAUAUGUGUGUGUGUAUAUCCACACGCAUAUAAGUACAUACAUACAUUUAUAUAUGCAUACAUUUACAUGUUUAUGUACAUGUAUACACAUGCACAUAUAUAUAUUAUUUUAGUCAUUUACACAGUUUAGUCAUUUGACUAAAUUAAUUGUAGUUCAAGAACAUUUACAGCUGUUUCAGUUUGUUAUUUCGAAGUAAAUUUGGAUUUAUUUCGUUUCAUUUAACAAACAUUGAACCAACUAAAAAUGAAAUGAAAGUUAGAUAUAAUUCCCAUCGCUCAAGUUUCAGAAAUAGAAGUAAAGCUAACUCUACCGGAUUAAGUAGUUACAUCUGGGAACUGAAAGACAAUAACAUUAAUUAUAGAUUAGAAUGGUACAUCCUAGCCAAAACAUUUUCAUAUAACCUUAAAAAUAAUCGCUGUAAUUUAUGCAUAAAUGAGAAAUUCUUUAUUUUAAUGGCCAAAUCAUAAUUACUAAAUAAACGAUAUGAAAAUACAUGUUUACAUAAAGAUAAAUUCUUAUUCUCUAAAUACCGCUAAUACCUAUAUUACAGGUUAUUAGCUGACGUGCCUAACAUCUGAUUACCUCCCCUAACUCUCUCCCUUAUCACAGAGCAUAAUUUAACAUCACAUCACAAUUAAAUUAAAUUAACCCGAUUAACUGAAUUAUCUAUCUUAAAUUCUACGAUGUUCACUAGGACAUAUAAUUCUCUAUAAUAUAUUUACUUUAAAGUUAGAUCGCUGACUAACAUACCAAUUGCUAAGGCGGCCACUAACAUAAACAUGAUUAAACGAGCGAUUUAGCUUAUCCUAGCCGACUGAAUUGGUUUUUAAUUAUAUUACGAUAUCCCACGCUGCACAUAACAGCAUAUUAUUUUUUUAUUUAUAUAUUUUAUUAUAAUACCUUUUACGUAACCCAAAUUUAUACAUUGUAUCGCACUAACUUUUUAAAAGCAUCCUUAAGCAUUAUAACAAGGGCAUUAUGUGUAAUCAUGGGGACUUACUUAGCGGUCACAAACAGCGUUAUAUAUUACAAUUAACAACACCGGAUAUUACUACCAGGUAUAACUUCUUCGACUAACACUGCCGGUCAACUAGUUAUUUUCCCCACUUAUUGCUUCAUUCAUCUAAUUGAAGAAACGUACACACACGUGGAACCCAAAUAGGGUACAUAAACGUAAGCCUAAAGACUUAACGAUCAUUUCCUAUUUUCCUUUUCUUUUCAUUUCCUUUUUUCUUCUAUCUAUGUUCCUCCGAUAAACUCUAAAUCAUUCUGACGAUGCUUGUUAAAUGGAACGAGAUAAAUGCAAAUUUUCUUUGAAAUAAACUGAAACAGCUGUAAAUGUUCUUGAACUACAAUUAAACUAUGACCUUUUAAUACCAAUGAUCAACUUCUAAUUGUUAAUUGUUGCUCCAUUUCUUUUCUUAUCUGAAUAUAUUAAACCAUGGUUUUACCAUUUAAAGUACCAGCUACUGUUAGCCUUAUAGCAAGGCCUAUACAUAGUGAGGUAAUACACCAGUAGUGCCUACGGACACAUUUAUCCCUUAGACGGUUGCAUAACCUCUAACUUAUAAUUUAUAUAAAUAUAUUUAUAUACAUACAUAUAUAUAUAUAUAUAUAUAUAUAUAUAUAUAUAUAUAUAUAUAUAUAUAUAUAUAUAUAUAUAUAUAUAUUGAUAAAACGGUAAGAUAACAAAAGAAAGAAAGAGACCUCAAUAUUAUGUAAAUAGAGGAAAUUUAUCUAUACAAUAUGUUACAUUACUCGGUAGUCAAGAUAAAACUCUGAGUUUCAGAUGCCGAAGUGGAAAUCCACAACACCAUCUCUUCGGUUAUCUGGCUAUUUGAAAACGUUAUGAAAAAAUACCGUUAAAAAUGAAGGGAAAUUACUCUGUUAUAACUCUGCUUUGCCUGCGUACUUAUACAUCGCUCGCAUUUUUCGUCAUAAAAAUUAUAUAAAAAUACAUAAAAAUAUAUAAAAAUAUAUAAAAAUAUAUAAAAUCUUCUUGGGACAUAACACAGAAAGCAUGUUCUAUCCGUUUUCUUUAGGGGACCAAAAACGUAACAGAAAUUUAGUCACAUGUGGGCAUGAUCCGAAAAGCUCUGUCCUUGUAUUUAGACAUGUGGUAGGGUCUAAGCUGCUUUUCCAGAUAAGCCAUCUCUCCAUGUCGCAUAAACCGCACCUUCCGCUGCCGUUAGUAUAGGGCUUACAUCUGGCCAAAAUCUUCCAUUGUAUGUUAUAAUCGACACCUUUAUCUCUUAAAGACCAAGUAUGAUUGGAUAAUUGUGUCGCUUUUCUUUGUUCCAGUGCCUAAAGCUCAAAGUGUGGUUAUUGAACCUGGCCUUGAAAUUACCCUCUGUCAGGCCCACGUAUUUCUUCGUCGAAAUGGUGUCUUUAGUGGUUAUAGAGUUUACGGUAGCUUCAUAUAUGAUGGUCUUGGACAUGCAAGCUCCAUUUAGCGGGCACAAUUCUUUAUUCCUGCAUGAACAGCUGUUUUCUUCUUGUGUUUUUUGUAUGUUAUGAUUGAUUAUGUUUUUAAAAUUGGUAGUUGAACUAAAACUAAUUUUUAAAUUGUGUCUAUUGAAGAGUUUCCUAUAAGCAUGGUUAACUGGAAAAUGUCUCUCUAUCAGUGCUAGGAAAUAUUUACCUAUAUUGAAGGCCACCUCGGGUGAGUAAGGGGGCGUAAACCAGAUGACCUUCCUAUUUCUAUUAUUCCUUUUCCUUAUUGUUGGGCUGGUGAUAGGUGUAUAUUUUAUUUUUCCGCUAAAACCACUAUCUUUUAAAGCUUUAUUAUAAACUGGGGCAACGCUAUUGAAGAUGUCCUCAUUAGAUGAGAGGCUAGAAAUCCUCUUACUAAUAUUUUUAACUAAAUUUUUGAAUACUAUAGGGGGAUGGCAUGAACCUACAUUAAUAUAACUUAGUCUAUCAUUGGGCUUCCUAUAAGGCUUAUAAAUAUUAUUAUUAAGAUCUAAGGAAACGUCUAAGAAAUUGACAACCGUCAGGUUAGUGUCUAUAGUUAUACUAAGUCCGAAGUGUUUCAUUAACUGGAUAAUAUCCUUCCUAAAACGAUCUUGUGCUGGUCCAUUUGUAUUAGCUGUUAAGGCGAGGGCAUCAUCUUUGUAGAUGGCGAAAUGUACGUUAGGGAAUGUCUUACUGAAGGUAUCUAGGAGAAAGAGUCCAAUUAGAUCACAGAUGCCUGCCCCAUCAUAUGAACCCAUGCUCACAUCGAAAGCGCCCUCCGUGUCGGUGUUUUUUACCCACUUUGCAUUCUCACUGAAAAGUAAUGUCUUUCUAGCAUGGAAGAUUAUAUCCUUAUCAUUGGUACUAAUUUCUAUGAAGUCACUAGCGAAGAUUAGGGCUUUAUCUAGCAGUUCUUUAGAGAUAGAGGCAUAAAAAUCAACAAUAUCGAAUUGUGUAAACCUCGCUUUUUCUUAUUCUUAAUAGCUUUAAACCAGUCUACGACUUCUAUACUAUUGGACCAUUGCACUAGCCUAGUAUCGGUCUUAAUUUUCGUAUUUAUUUUAUCUAAAAUUUCUUUGCUAAUAAUCCCUAGUUCUGACUUGGCUGGGUUGAUAAGCCUACAUUUAGGGUUGGAAAGGAAGUUUUCUUUGUGGUCUUUAAUAGUAAUAAAGGCCUCUUUUUGGGGGAGGGUUUCUAUUUUUUUAUCUAAUUUAAGUUUAGCGGCGAUGACGCUAGCUUCUUUAUUAAUUUCGUUUACACACAACUCUUACACAACAGCAUCAUUAAUAAUUAUACUAAGGCUAGGGCACAGACAUAUAACGAAAUUAAUAAAGAAGCUAGCGUCAUCGCCGCUAAACUUAAAUUAGAUAAAAAAAUAGAAACCCUCCCCAAAAAGAGGCCUUUAUUACUAUUAAAGACCACAAAGAAAACUUCCUUUCCAACCCUAAAUGUAGGCUUAUCAACCCAGCCAAGUCAGAACUAGGGAUUAUUAGCAAAGAAAUUUUAGAUAAAAUAAAUACGAAAAUUAAGACCGAUACUAGGCUAGUGCAAUGGUCCAAUAGUAUAGAAGUCGUAGACUGGUUUAAAGCUAUUAAGAAUAAGAAAAAAGCGAGGUUUACACAAUUCGAUAUUGUUGAUUUUUAUGCCUCUAUCUCUAAAGAACUGCUAGAUAAAGCCCUAAUCUUCGCUAGUGACUUCAUAGAAAUUAGUACCAAUGAUAAGGAUAUAAUCUUCCAUGCUAGAAAGACAUUACUUUUCAGUGAGAAUGCAAAGUGGGUAAAAAACACCGACACGGAGGGCGCUUUCGAUGUGAGCAUGGGUUCAUAUGAUGGGGCAGGCAUCUGUGAUCUAAUUGGACUCUUUCUCCUAGAUACCUUCAGUAAGACAUUCCCUAACGUACAUUUCGCCAUCUACAAAGAUGAUGCCCUCGCCUUAACAGCUAAUACAAAUGGACCAGCACAAGAUCGUUUUAGGAAGGAUAUUAUCCAGUUAAUGAAACACUUCGGACUUAGUAUAACUAUAGACACUAACCUGACGGUUGUCAAUUUCUUAGACGUUUCCUUAGAUCUUAAUAAUAAUAUUUAUAAGCCUUAUAGGAAGCCCAAUGAUAGACUAAGUUAUAUUAAUGUAGGUUCAUGCCAUCCCCCUAUAGUAUUCAAAAAUUUAGUUAAAAAUAUUAGUAAGAGGAUUUCUAGCCUCUCAUCUAAUGAGGACAUCUUCAAUAGCGUUGCCCCAGUUUAUAAUAAAGCUUUAAAAGAUAGUGGUUUUAGCGGAAAAAUAAAAUAUACACCUAUCACCAGCCCAACAAUAAGGAAAAGGAAUAAUAGAAAUAGGAAGGUCAUCUGGUUUACGCCCCCUUACUCACCCGAGGUGGCCUUCAAUAUAGGUAAAUAUUUCCUAGCACUGAUAGAGAGACAUUUUCCAGUUAACCAUGCUUAUAGGAAACUCUUCAAUAGACACAAUUUAAAAAUUAGUUUUAGUUCAACUACCAAUUUUAAAAACAUAAUCAAUCAUAACAUACAAAAAACACAAGAAGAAAACAGCUGUUCAUGCAGGAAUAAAGAAUUGUGCCCGCUAAAUGGAGCUUGCACGUCCAAGACCAUCAUAUAUGAAGCUACCGUAAACUCUAUAACCACUAAAGACACCGUUUCGACGAAGAAAUACGUGGGCCUGACAGAGGGUAAUUUCAAGGCCAGGUUCAAUAACCACACUUUGAGCUUUAGGCACUGGAACAAAAGAAAAGCGACACAAUUAUCCAAUCAUAUUUGGUCUUUAAGAGAUAAAGGUGUCGAUUAUAACAUACAAUGGAAGAUUUUGGCCAGAUGUAAGCCCUAUACUAACGGCAGCGGAAGGUGCGGUUUAUGCGACAUGGAGAGAUGGCUUAUCUGGAAAAGCAGCUUAGACCCUACCACAUGUCUAAAUACAAGGACAGAGCUUUUCGGAUCAUGCCCACAUGUGACUAAAUUUCUGUUACGUUUUUGGUCCCCUAAAGAAAACGGAUAGAACAUGCUUUCUGUGUUAUGUCCCAAGAAGAUUUUAUAUAUUUUUAUAUAUUUUUAUAUAUUUUUAUGUAUUUUUAUAUAAUUUUUAUGACGAAAAAUGCGAGCGAUGUAUAAGUACGCAGGCAAAGCAGAGUUAUAACAGAGUAAUUUCCCUUCAUUUUUAACGGUAUUUUUUCAUAACGUUUUCAAAUAGCCAGAUAACCGAAGAGAUGGUGUUGUGGAUUUCCACUUCGGCAUCUGAAACUCAGAGUUUUAUCUUGACUACCGAGUAAUGUAACAUAUUGUAUAGAUAUAUAUAUAUAUAUAUAUAUAUGUGUGUGUGUGUGUGUGUGUGUGUGUGUGUGUGUGUGUGUGUGUGUGUGUGUGUGUGUGUGUGUGUGUGUGUGUGUAUGUAUGUAUGUAUGUAUGUAUCUAUGUUUGUAUUUUGUGUACUGUUCCGUCAUGGUAAGAUCAACAAAAAAAGUACUCCAUCUGGUGAGAGAUAAAUAGUAUUUAAUAGACAUAAUACAUGUUUUUAUGUGCUAAUAAUAGAUUCCUGUGCCGAGAACAUGCCAAAACAUCACCUGUCUGCACAUAGAUUAUCUUGCAAAAAAUCUGCAAAGUCAAAACAUUUUGAUUUACCCGUCCGCCAGUCUUGAAGAUAAUCAAACCAAAUUUUCAUCAUUUUGAGUCACUUACACAAUGAGUAUUUCUGCCAAAUUUGGUGAAAAUCCGUUCAGCAGUUUUCCAGUAAUUUUGCUAAAACACAGACAAACAGACUAAAACGAAUGAUAUGAUUCUAUAUUUUUGAGAUGAGGAAUUAUGUACAUUAUUUACAAUGGACGGAUAGGUGACCUCACCUUGUUUGUUGCUACCACAAGUUUCCGCUGAGGUACUCUCCAGACUUCAUCAGGUGUUCUGAUAGAAUUUCGAACCCAACUCUUUAUUUACUAAUGAGGUACUCUGUUCUCAUUCCUAAGGUAUUCUUUUCUUUUUGUUGUUGAUACUAUUUUUGUGUAGAUAUUAUUUCCCAAGUCUCUGCCUGGGAUUGAACUCGGAAUCCGAGGAUUAAUAGCCCGCGCUCUUAUCCACUAUAUGCUCGUAGGCAAUUACAGAGUGAAUUUUAGGGCUUAUAAUAACAGUUUUUUUCUUCUUAAUACCAGUUCCCAUAUUGCAUUCAUAUCUACACUAGGUCUGCUUAGGAGAUUAUGUGCUGCCUCUUUUAGUUUUCAUAUUUUCCAGUGGUGUUCUCUGCUUAUUAUUUUAACUUCAUCCCACAGGAGUGGCAGUCUCCUUUUUUACCAUACAUGAUCAGCUAUACCUGAUUUUUCAAUUUCUCCUCGUGUCACUGUUUUAUGAUGUUCCUCUACCCUUAUUUUCAAGGUGCGGCAUGUUUCGUCUUCGUAUAACCUACCGCAACUGCAUGGGAUGGAGCACACUCAGUUUUUGGUCAUAUUCUCUUCUAUGGGUUGUUUUACUCGGAAGAGAUAUUUACGCAAUGUUCUAUUACUUCUGAAUACUGUACUGAUGUCAUAUGGACCGCAUAUCGUUUGUAUCUUUUCUGAGAGGCCUUUGACCUAGGGUAGAGAGACUGUAGUUAGUUUAUGGGUUUCAUACUUUCUUCUCUUCCUAAUUGGAGUGGAUAUUAGGUUUUCUGGGUAGCAUCAGCAAGAAAAAGAAUAUCUUAGGAAUGAGAACAGAGUACCCCAUUAGUCAAAUAAAGGGCUGGGUUCGAAAUUCCACUUGAACACCUGAUGAAGAGUGGAGAGUACAUCAGCCGAAACGCUGUGGUAACAGCAAACAAGGUGAGGACAUCUAUCCGUCCAUUGUAAAUAAAGACGAAUGAUUACAAUACCCUGCUUUCGCUUAUGCGCGCAGAGUAAUUACAUUUAAUGGAAAGAUCACUUAAUACUUUUUAACAGAGCCUGUAUUAAUUUCUACGAUAAAAAAGUUGACAUUGACUUCGAAGUUUUGUCUCACUGCCAUCAUCAGGCUAUGACUUAUUUUGGUCUUUAUGGCCUAUAGAGUUUUGGGUUGGGUGUUCCUUCGUUAGGUGGAGUAAUGUAAAAGAAAACUAAGUGUGAUAUUGGCAAAAGAAAGUUGUUGUUUUGAAAGAAGUAAUGGCGAAGGGAAGGAGGAAAGUAUAUGUUUGAAGGUGGGUGGAAAGAAAGAGAUGAUGAAGACAUGUUUUCUGGUUUAUGUACAGACGUUUUGUUUAUUGUUUGCAUCACAUUGUAUGAGAAUUGCUUUUACGAGCAUAAACUGCUUGGAAAACUAUAACGUACAUUUGCCUAGACACGUAAUUGCAAUUCCUUCGAGAAAAAGCACCCUGAUACCUAUAUGAGUUUCCACUUAUCUUAGAAAAUCAGAAUGUAAAAAUGAUAUAGAACUUUAGUAUACAGACAGCCCACAACCAAUCUGUAUAUAGGUCUGGUAUCAUUUUCUGUGGCACAAAUGAUAACGGAGGACUAAUCUGGCAGAAUCGUUAGCAUGCCGGGCAAAAUGCUUAGCGACAUUUCAUCCGUUUUCACCUUCAGAGUUCAAAUUUCACCGAGAUUGACUUUGCCUUUCAUCUUUUCGGGUCAAUAAAAUAUAUACCAGUUGAGCACUGGGGUCGAUGUAACUGACCUACUCCUCCCACGAACUUGCUUUGUGCCAAAAUCUGAAACCAAUAUCAAAUCUACGGGUGAAGUUAUAGUUGUGGGAUCAAAAAUUUCCUUCGCAAGUACGUCGUUUCGGAUUCAGGCUCCCUGUACGACGCCUUCGUAAAUGUCUUCUACCAUAGCCUCGGGUUGACCAAAUAUUGUAAGUGAUUUUGUAAAUGAAAACUGUAUGGAAGCCCGUCAGACUUAAUCCAUCACUUUGUUUAGUUUAACCCUCAAAUGAUCCUAGGGAACCUUUAGCAAAAUCCAGUAUACCGUAAGCGUUCGAGGUCGAUCUCCGGUUAGUGAAUAACUUCUUCCCUUCCUCCUACCAAUGUUAAAGGCACUGCAACGAGGUCAUGGCCGCUGCUCUUCUUUCUUUGACUGAACCAUAAAAAUAUUAUAAUGCUGUUCAAAAGAUGGAUAAAAAGCAAAGGAAUUACACCUAGCUGUUGCAAUAAAAACAAAGUGGCACUUAAAGAAUAUAUGCUAUCAUUCUAUUUAUAAUUGGUACAAGCUGAAUGAAACACAACCAUUUCUGUAAAGCCAUUAAAGGAUUAACUAUAACGAUUGAUAUAGAUACAUUCCAGAAAAUAGAAGUACUGGCAUUUGUAAAUAUCAUUAAAGUAUUCUCACAUGGCUUUUGUUAACUUUUUAUAUUUUUAUACUUUUUCAAAACUCAAUAUAUGGGGUUUUUUCUAUUUAAACUAUGAAUGAUAAUAAUAAUAAUAAUAAUAAUAAUAAUAAUAAUAAUAAUAAUAAUAAUAAUAAUAAUAAUAAUAAUAAUAAUACUGAUGCAGUACCAGGCAGUGGCUCUCAUGGCUUCUGAUCUUAACUGAUUGGAAGUGUUAUCAUGUACAUUGUUUUGUCUUGGUAUAAAAGAUGGGCUACAGCAAAUAUUCUGCUCAAUACCACAGAUUUGCUUGUCAGUUGUUUGACCUUAACCAGUUGAGCAUGUCCCUUAGUGGCUGACGAUAUGUGCAUCUCUGAUCACGAGCAGAAGUAGUGGGGGAGCAUCAUAGCCAUGUGCUGAGAGGGAUUCUUUGGGGUUUGAAUAAUUCACCUCUGGAAACAUGGGUGGUUCUUUCAACAUCCUUAAACAACCCUUAUUCAGGGACCUUUUGAGCGGGAUGGGCUACUCAACCUGAAGAAAAUUCUAACUGGGCCCCACCUGCAAGGUCAUGUGCUGUUUAUCUUGAUAUGAGAUCACCAUGUCGCGCACAUAUGGUUGUGAUGCAUGUGCCUGGUGUACCUUUAUCAGACGGGUAGUCAUGAUGGGUAUAUUGGGCUUCGUAUAUUUUACCCCAGUGUCACUUUGAUGGCAUGCACUGCUCUCUCACUCAAUAAUAAUAAUAAUAAUAAUAAUAAUAAUAAUAAUAAUAAUAAUAAUAAUGAUAAUAAUGAUAAUAAUGAUGAUGAUGAUGAUGAUGAUGAUGAUGAUGAUGAUGAUGAUGAUGAUGAUAAUCAGUAGUAGUAGUAGUAGUAGUGUGUUUGUCAUGAUUCAAAAUACGCUUCGUUUAAAUGAAAUAAUUUGUCCUCUACAAAUAAUUUAUUUUCACACAUCAAAUGUUUUGCUUUAUCAUUUCAGAUAAUCUUGCUGUCUACUCCCUAACGGAUAUCGGGGAUUUGUGAAUUAAUUAAAUUCAAAGAGAAAAUGAACAGAAGCUUUGAUACACUGCUACCAGAUGUGAAAUGAAAGGUGCAAACGUAAAAGAUAAUAGCUUGCUGUUUGAAUCUCUACGUUGAAAUACAAUUUUCACUGCGUCAACCGACAAAUUUUCA
rnacentral:lncRNA from 1 species